rnacentral:rRNA from 1 species
AUGCACACUGAGAAGAAUAUCGCCGAGGCACUUUUUGGUACAUUGUUCGGCAUAGAUGGGAAGUCAAAGGAUAAUACUAAGGCUAGAGUCGUUCUGGAGGCGCUAUGUGAUAGGCCGUUACAAAACAUGAAAGAACCGAAAGGAAAGCAGAACUGGACGAAGCCAAAGGCAUGGUUCAAUCUUGGAAGGCCAGCUAUGAGGGAAAUUAUCUUGUGGGUGAAAAUGCAGUUGAUGUUCCCCGAUGGGUAUGCAGUGAAUCUAAAGAGGGGAGCGAGUCUUGAUAAAUUGAAGAUAUUUGGUCUCAAGAGUCAUGAUUGGCACAUAUGGAUUGAGCGGGUAUUGCCGGUGAUGUUGCGUGGCUUCAUCCCUGAGGAUGAAUGGCUAGUACUGGCAGAACUCAGAUAUUUCUUCCGUGUUCUUUGCGCGAAAGAACUAUCGCCUGGCGUGCUAGAAGAAAUGGAAGAGUUGGUGCCGGAGUUGAUCUGCAAGUUAGAGAAGAUCUUUCCACCGGGCUUCUUUAAUCCAAUGCAGCAUUUGAUUUUGCAUCUCCCGACCAAGGCAAGAUUGGGGGGGCCCGUGCAAAACCAUUGGUGCUACCCAACUGAGAGGAUGCAGAAGACGCUUCGAGAAAAAUGUAAAAAUAAACGUAGAAUUGAAGCGUCGAUGGCUGAGGCAUUCAUCACUGAGGAGGCGGCAAACUUCGUGACAGGACACUACGAAACCAAAAAUCGUCAUUUGCAUAAUCCGAAGCCUCGGUACAAUGCUGACGAGCCUAAAAAGGGUGGAUCCAACCUCAGCCUAUUCAAAGGGAAUCUCGCACCAGCUAGUGUUUCAAAUCCAGUAUCUUUGGAUAACGAUGAAUGGCGGACCAUUUCGUUGUAUAUCUUCAACAACCUGAUAGAAGUGCGGCCGUACAUCGAUCGAUACGUUGCCCUAUUCUCGUAUGGAGCGGUGACCCAAAAGGAUUUCAUCGAAGAGUAUGAGCUUCUCGCAAAGCAAGGAGGCGGCUAUCCCGGUUUCAUCUCUUGGUUCAAACAA